CAGUUCAGAUUGCAGGCUGCAACUCGCCUGCAUGAAGCCGGAAUUGCUAGUAAUCGUAGGUCAGCAUACUACGGUGAAUACGUUCCCGGGCCUUGUACACACCGCCCGUCAAACCAUGAGAGUUGGCAACACCCGAAGUCGGUAGUCUAACCGCAAGGAGGACGCCGCCGAAGGUGGGGUUGAUGAUUAGGGUUAAGUCGUAACAAGGUAAC
rnacentral:rRNA from 1 species